CAUAGCCUACACUUAGUUCAGAAUAGCUCUGCGAUAUGAAAAUAUUAUUGCUGUAAGGCAACAGCCAAUUAUUUGUUUCCCCCAAAGGAUACCAGCCAUGAGACCAGUGCUGAGCGCUGGCAAACUGGGCACUUAGAAACAUCAACAUCCCCAUCACCACAAACAGCCUGCAGAUGUGCACCAUAACUGAGGGAAGAGAACAGAUUGAUGAGACAAACGGAGUGAGGGGCCAGUAACAACACUGACACGUUUAACAGUCAGGUCUAGGUUUACCAGCCUAACAAUUUCAGGAAAAAUGUUUGACUGAAAAGUAUGUUGGCAAUGAUGUUUAAGAGACAAUAAAGCACAAUGGAGACCGUAA